UUACAAACAUGGAUUGCCGGAGUUCUGUGAUACCAGGGUUGAGCAGACAACAAUAUGACCAAUUGAUGAGCUUGCUACAACAGACUCAGUUAGGGGAAUCCACUGCUCAGACUCCUCCUCCAAUAUAUGCUGCUAACUUUGCUGGUACUAUGCUAACUGAGAGCCCAGUUUCUGAUUCCAAAUUUUGCAUGCUUACUCACAUUGAUUCUGCCAUCUGGAUAAUAUACUUAGGGGCAUCU
rnacentral:lncRNA from 1 species